rfam:Alcanivorax borkumensis SK2, complete genome
GUCCCCUUCGUCUAGUGGCCCAGGACACCGCCCUUUCACGGCGGUAACAGGGGUUCGACUCCCCUAGGGGACG